AAAAGACCCGCAUUCAUUUAUAAUGGAAAUUCAGGAACACAAAUACUGCGGACCACUGUUGAUCACUGUUGACCUGUUGAUUGUGAAGAAUCAGAACUUCAAAACUCCAAAAUGACAUGCCAGAGGUCAUACAGUACUACAAUAAAACCAAAGGAGGCGUGGAUCUCAUGGACCAAAUGGUCCAAACAUACACAUCAAAGCGGCGAACAAGGAGGUGGCCUAUGGUGCUCUGGCAAAAUGUGGUCGAUGUUGCUGCUCUGAAUGCAUUCACUGUUUUUACAGCACAUCACCCUGAUUAUAUGGGUGGUGUGCCAAAU